GAUUGAUGACGAUGAUGACAGCGAUCAUGACUAUGAACAGAUAGAAGACCAAUUUCACCUGAUGUCUUUGCAAAAGAUUAAACCUUGUGCACGACAGAAAUAGGUCCAAACAGUGAACAAGCAGGUUUCAUUUAAGAACCACCGCCUGAUCAGAGAGGAAGCUCCAUUACAAACCGAGGAUGAUGGAUCAGUUCAAACAAUCGCUUGCAGCUGACUUAAGUUUAGCUGCGUUGAUAUAUGGAAGCAUUAUGCCCAAUGUGCUGCAGGAGAAACGGGGAACUUUCAAAAAGAAAUGAAACAUGUAAAUCAGAUGAAGAGGUGGCGGGGGGAGAGGGUGUUGGGGGUAAGGAGGGGUAAAUAAAAUAGGCCACUUUCAUCUCCAGAAACUCGGAUGCAGAAAAACAGUGACAAACUAUUAAAAUACAUUUUCGGAGAAAAAUAGACUCAGCUGGCGAAACCAAUGCAAUGAUUCUUAUCCGAGCUUAGCAUUAUUUACAACCAGUUGCUUGUGUCUUUAAUGUGUGUCUAGGGCAUGUUAUCUCCCAAGUAUAUUACGAGUGUAUUAAUGCUUUACAGUGGGGUUUAUGAAUCAUUUCUAAGUCACUGACUUGCCUGCUGUCAUCAGUCAUUCUAGUGGAAAAUACGACAUCUAGCCAAUUUCAUUCAGUUUUUAUAUUCAUAGUAACCAUUUGGUUUGGCGUAGCUUUGCAAAUAAUAUUUUCAGUGCAAGGAAAAACCUGCAGUGUUCUGUGCAACUGCGUUCAAGAGACGGCUCUUAAAAAUGCUCGAGAGGCUGCAAAAAUACAGCAUCGUGGGCUGCUGCCUUGGUGGUUCGGGUAAUAAAGCUUCUGCCUCCAGUGUGAAAUUGGACCACACACACCAGCGAUAUUUCUUUUCUAUUUUUUUUUAUUACAUUUAUGUCCAAGUAAAAUGAAAAUGUUUAAAGCUCAGAUCACAACCUUGGUGCGUAUUGAAAUCCCACACCUCACCUUUGGAUGUAAUGUUUUCAGCAAUGGCCUGCCUGGCUGUUCAGUGAAACACUUUAAAUCAAUCACGUUGGGAUAAAGAUUAUGCGUUGGCUUUCUGUUUAUAUGUUCGUGCCUCCAAAGUCACCUCACAGAAAAAUGCGACACGGCGCGAUAUUUUUUUUUAAAUCACAUUUUCCAAUUAUUUUUGUGGAGUUUUGUAGCAUUUUUUUCCCCCAUAAACUAUAAACACGAUUUGCUUUUUGGUCUGAUUUUGCCAUCGACUUUGAAAGAAAUCAA